rnacentral:rRNA from 1 species
UACGUAGGGGGCAAGCGUUAUCCGGAAUUAUUGGGCGUAAAGAGCUCGUAGGCGGUUUGUCGCGUCUGCUGUGAAAACUGGAGGCUCAACCUCCAGCCUGCAGUGGGUACGGGCAGACUAGAGUGCGGUAGGGGAGAUUGGAAUUCCUGGUGUAGCAGUGGAAUGCGCAGAUAUCAGGAGGAACACCGAUGGCGAAGGCAGAUCUCUGGGCCGUAACUGACGCUGAGGAGCGAAAGCGUGGGGAGCGAACAGG